ACCAACAUCUACUGUUUGUAACUGCGGCCACCUGAACAAUGUUGAUCAAAAAAGAACACUUGUGAAGGAUCAGGAGCUUUUAAUAAGCACAAAACAUCUCGAAUCACAAGCAGGAGCUUUAGAAAGCCCUUUGGUCGGAGGUGGCUAUCUUGGAGAAGGUUGGACACGUGGCGGAUCAGUUUGGAGACAGAAUUACGCGGCUGCGCCGCACCAGCACGGUCAAGAAUUAAGGAAUAACAGAAAGAAGAUAGGUACAGGAGCUGUCAGGGUCACACAUACACACAAUCUCUGAGGUAGUUUGAACCAUUUUGCUGUUGAGUCGAUGCAUGUUUGUGCAACAUUAGCAAUGCUGGCACUUUGAAAGAGAUAAUUCUAUGCCCACUUCCCUGGUUUUUCUUUAUAAUCCUGUGAUAUUUCUAAUAACAAAUAUUGCAAGUUAUUAAUCAAACUGCUUCCACUACUCUCUAAGCUGUGCAUUCCAGAUCAUAAAACUUGGUGUGUAAAAAUAAAAACCAAUAUUCUA